CCCCGCGGAAGAGUCCGGCGGCCGCCUUCGGGCGGAGAGGCCGGCACCGAAGGCGCAACCGCCCCGGAAACGCUCAGGUCCCAGGACCGCGGGGA
rnacentral:ncRNA from 1 species